GCCAUUGCUAUCGGGGUCCGAUUUAGCCAUGCUAGUUGUACGAGUUCAGACUCGUAGCGGAAAGCUCAGUAACACGUGGUCAAGCUACCCUGUGGACCAGAAUAACCCCGGGAAACUGGGGCUAAUCCUGGAUAAUGCUCCUGCUCUGGAAAGAGCGGAGCUGGAAACGCUCCGGCGCCACAGGAUGCGGCUGCGGCCGAUUAGGUAGACGGUGGGGUAACGGCCCACCGUGCCCAUAAUCGGUACGGGUUGUGAGAGCAAGAGCCCGGAGAUGGAAUCUGAGACAAGAUUCCAGGCCCUACGGGGCGCAGCAGGCGCGAAACCUUUACACUGUACGCAAGUGCGAUAAGGGGACCCCGAGUGCGAGGGCAUACAGUCCUCGCUUUUGUGUACCGUAAGGAGGUACACGAAUAAGGGCUGGGCAAGACCGGUGCCAGCCGCCGCGGUAAUACCGGCAGCCCUAGUGAUGGCCGCUAUUAUUGGGCCUAAAGCGUCCGUAGCCG
rnacentral:rRNA from 1 species